rnacentral:rRNA from 1 species
GACGUAGGAGGCGAGCGUUGUCCGGAUUCAUUGGGCGUAAAGAGCGCGCAGGCGGCUUGGUAAGUCGGAUGUGAAAUCCCGAGGCUCAACCUCGGGUCUGCAUCCGAUACUGCCCGGCUAGAGGUAGGUAGGGGAGAUCGGAAUUCCUGGUGUAGCGGUGAAAUGCGCAGAUAUCAGGAGGAACACCGGUGGCGAAGGCGGGUCUCUGGGCCGUAACUGACGCUGAGGAGCGAAAGCAUGGGGAGCAAACAGG